AGAUGAUUAGUCCAAAGCAAGACCACUGAUUUCGGCUCAGUAAAUUAUGGUUCAAGUCCAUAAUCACCUU
ensembl:Mt_tRNA